AACGAACGCUAGCGGCGCGCUUAACACAUGCAAGUCGCACGAGAAAGGGCUUCGGCCCCGGUAAAGUGGCGCACGGGUGAGUAACACGUGGAUAAUCUUCCCUCGGGCGGGGGAGUAACAUUCCGAAGGAAGUGCUAAUACCGCAUAAGACCACGAUUCCGAAAGGAAGUUGAGGUAAAAGACCGGCCUCUAUAUAUAAGCUGGCACCUGAGUUCGAUGAGUCCGCGUCCCAUCAGCUA
rnacentral:rRNA from 1 species